rnacentral:rRNA from 1 species
AACGAACGCUGGCGGCAGGCUUAACACAUGCAAGUCGAGCGGAUGACGGGAGCUUGCUCCUUGAUUCAGCGGCGGACGGGUGAGUAAUGCCUAGGAAUCUGCCUGGUAGUGGGGGACAACGUUUCGAAAGGAACGCUAAUACCGCAUACGUCCUACGGGAGAAAGCAGGGGACCUUCGGGCCGUGCGCUACCAGAUGAGCCUAGGUCGGAUUAGCUAGUUGGUGAGGUAAUGGCUCACCAAGGCGACGAUCCGUAACUGGUCUGAGAGGAUGAUCAGUCACACUGGAACUGAGACACGGUCCAGACUCCUACGGGAGGCAGCAGUGGGGAAUAUUGGACAAUGGGCGAAAGCCUGAUCCAGCCAUGCCGCGUGUGUGAAGAAGGUCUUCGGAUUGUAAAGCACUUUAAGUUGGGAGGGAGGGUAGUAAGUUAAUACCUUGCUGUUUUGACGUUACCGACAGAAUAAGCACCGGCUAACUCUGUGCCAGCCGCCGCCGUAACAC